UGCUUCUGGCCUGUAACAAAAGUCAAAGACACUGGAGAAAUCAUAAAAGAGCCCUCCACGGUAAAGUCAAUGAAAUUGUUCCAGAGCUGGGAAUUAUGUGUCAAGACAAGCUGGUGGUGGCAUCUGCUGCUGUAUUGACUGUCAGUGUUCGCUCAAAUGCUUUGGCCAGUCAAAGAAUCUCAAGUGGAAUAGCCCAAAAGCAUUUGGUAGGAGGAUUUGAAGUUCAAGAGGGACAUUCAUCUUAAAUACACAUAUGUAAGAAGCAUCACUCUCAUUGCGUUUAAGGUAACAAUAACAGAGCAGGACACUGGAAUAAAUGAUCAACAGCAACAUUUUAUAAAGGAAGAAAUAGUUUCUUGAAGGAGGUAAUCCCAUCAGAUUCAUAUUGAACAUCUUCUCAAAUGUGAUCAUCUCUGAAGUUUAUCUGCAUGUGUGUACCUCUGGAAGGUGCUGUCAAUACAUUUGGGAAAAGGGAAUGAGAAGCUUGACUUGUUCUCUUGUAUGCAAUAGAAACUGUGAAAUUGAUCUGUCAAAGACUAAAUUGUGAUCUCUGGCCUCUGGCCUAGAGUUUCUCUUUCUUCUUGCAGGCAGAUUUUCAGUUAAGUAACAAAAGUCAUAUUACAGAUUUUCAAUUCCAAUCUUUAUCCACAUAAGCAAAAGUCAAACAAAUUCUGUGUCUAUACUCCAUUGAUUGCUAAUAUCACAACCCACUUUAUUUGACCAUUUUACCUAAAGUGUAUAAUUGGUUAUGUUUAUAUGUUGAAAAAUAGGCUAUAUUCCUUUUUCAUGAAGUUCCUAAGAUCUUUCAGUUUCCUAAUGAUGCUGUUGCUCUUGACUUCUGAUGGCUUGUUUUACAGAGCUCUUACACUUUCUCUCUACUUUGGACAGAUUGCUUUCUAGGACUGCAGCACAGAUGUCGUCCUAGC